rnacentral:rRNA from 1 species
UAAGUUAUUAAGGGCGCACGGUGGAUGCCUUGGCACUAGAAGCCGAUGAAGGACGUUACUAACGACGAUAUGCUUUGGGGAGCUGUAAGUAAGCUUUGAUCCAGAGAUUUCCGAAUGGGGAAACCCAGCAUGAGUUAUGUCAUGUUAUCGAUAUGUGAAUACAUAGCAUAUCAGAAGGCACACCCGGAGAACUGAAACAUCUUAGUACCCGGAGGAAGAGAAAGAAAAUUCGAUUCCCUUAGUAGCGGCGAGCGAAACGGGAAGAGCCCAAACCAACAAGCUUGCUUGUUGGGGUUGUAGGACACUCUAUACGGAGUUACAAAGGACGACAUUAGACGAAUCAUCUGGAAAGAUGAAUCAAAGAAGGUAAUAAUCCUGUAGUCGAAAAUGUUGUCUCUCUUGAGUGGAUCCUGAGUACGACGGAGCACGUGAAAUUCCGUCGGAAUCUGGGAGGACCAUCUCCUAAGGCUAAAUACUCUCUAGUGACCGAUAGUGAACCAGUACCGUGAGGGAAAGGUGAAAAGCACCCCGGAAGGGGAGUGAAAUAGAACCUGAAACCGUGUGCUUACAAGUAGUCAGAGCCCGUUAAUGGGUGAUGGCGUGCCUUUUGUAGAAUGAACCGGCGAGUUACGAUUUGAUGCAAGGUUAAGCAGUAAAUGUGGAGCCGUAGCGAAAGCGAGUCUGAAUAGGGCGUUUAGUAUUUGGUCGUAGACCCGAAACCAGGUGAUCUACCCUUGGUCAGGUUGAAGUUCAGGUAACACUGAAUGGAGGACCGAACCGACUUACGUUGAAAAGUGAGCGGAUGAACUGAGGGUAGCGGAGAAAUUCCAAUCGAACCUGGAGAUAGCUGGUUCUCUCCGAAAUAGCUUUAGGGCUAGCCUCAAGUGAUGAUUAUUGGAGGUAGAGCACUGUUUGGACGAGGGGCCCCUCUCGGGUUACCGAAUUCAGACAAACUCCGAAUGCCAAUUAAUUUAACUUGGGAGUCAGAACAUGGGUGAUAAGGUCCGUGUUCGAAAGGGAAACAGCCCAGACCACCAGCUAAGGUCCCAAAAUAUAUGUUAAGUGGAAAAGGAUGUGGCGUUGCCCAGACAACUAGGAUGUUGGCUUAGAAGCAGCCAUCAUUUAAAGAGUGCGUAAUAGCUCACUAGUCGAGUGACACUGCGCCGAAAAUGUACCGGGGCUAAACAUAUUACCGAAGCUGUGGAUUGUCCUUUGGACAAUGGUAGGAGAGCGUUCUAAGGGCGUUGAAGCAUGAUCGUAAGGACAUGUGGAGCGCUUAGAAGUGAGAAUGCCGGUGUGAGUAGCGAAAGACGGGUGAGAAUCCCGUCCACCGAUUGACUAAGGUUUCCAGAGGAAGGCUCGUCCGCUCUGGGUUAGUCGGGUCCUAAGCUGAGGCCGACAGGCGUAGGCGAUGGAUAACAGGUUGAUAUUCCUGUACCACCUAUAAUCGUUUUAAUCGAUGGGGGGACGCAGUAGGAUAGGCGAAGCGUGCGAUUGGAUUGCACGUCUAAGCAGUAAGGCUGAGUAUUAGGCAAAUCCGGUACUCGUUAAGGCUGAGCUGUGAUGGGGAGAAGACAUUGAGUCUUCGAGUCGUUGAUUUCACACUGCCGAGAAAAGCCUCUAGAUAGAAAAUAGGUGCCCGUACCGCAAACCGACACAGGUAGUCAAGAUGAGAAUUCUAAGGUGAGCGAGCGAACUCUCGUUAAGGAACUCGGCAAAAUGACCCCGUAACUUCGGGAGAAGGGGUGCUCUUUAGGGUUAACGCCCAGAAGAGCCGCAGUGAAUAGGCCCAAGCGACUGUUUAUCAAAAACACAGGUCUCUGCUAAACCGUAAGGUGAUGUAUAGGGGCUGACGCCUGCCCGGUGCUGGAAGGUUAAGAGGAGUGGUUAGCUUCUGCGAAGCUACGAAUCGAAGCCCCAGUAAACGGCGGCCGUAACUAUAACGGUCCUAAGGUAGCGAAAUUCCUUGUCGGGUAAGUUCCGACCCGCACGAAAGGCGUAACGAUUUGGGCACUGUCUCAACGAGAGACUCGGUGAAAUCAUAGUACCUGUGAAGAUGCAGGUUACCCGCGACAGGACGGAAAGACCCCGUGGAGCUUUACUGUAGCCUGAUAUUGAAAUUCGGCACAGCUUGUACAGGAUAGGUAGGAGCCUUUGAAACGUGAGCGCUAGCUUACGUGGAGGCGCUGGUGGGAUACUACCCUAGCUGUGUUGGCUUUCUAACCCGCACCACUUAUCGUGGUGGGAGACAGUGUCAAGCGGGCAGUUUGACUGGGGCGGUCGCCUCCUAAAAGGUAACGGAGGCGCUCAAAGGUUCCCUCAGAAUGGUUGGAAAUCAUUCAUAGAGUGUAAAGGCAUAAGGGAGCUUGACUGCGAGACCUACAAGUCGAGCAGGGUCGAAAGACGGACUUAGUGAUCCGGUGGUUCCGCAUGGAAGGGCCAUCGCUCAACGGAUAAAAGCUACCCCGGGGAUAACAGGCUUAUCUCCCCCAAGAGUUCACAUCGACGGGGAGGUUUGGCACCUCGAUGUCGGCUCAUCGCAUCCUGGGGCUGUAGUCGGUCCCAAGGGUUGGGCUGUUCGCCCAUUAAAGCGGUACGCGAGCUGGGUUCAGAACGUCGUGAGACAGUUCGGUCCCUAUCCGUCGUGGGCGUAGGAAAUUUGAGAGGAGCUGUCCUUAGUACGAGAGGACCGGGAUGGACAUACCUCUGGUGUACCAGUUGUCGUGCCAACGGCAUAGCUGGGUAGCUAUGUGUGGACGGGAUAAGUGCUGAAAGCAUCUAAGCAUGAAGUCCCCCUCAAGAUGAGAUUUCCCAACUUCGGUUAUAAGAUCCCUCAAAGAUGAUGAGGUUAAUAGGUUCGAGGUGGAAGCAUGGUGACAUGUGGAGCUGACGAAUACUAAUCGAUCGAAGACUUAAUCA